AUUUUCAGAUAUUCUCAAUGAAGAGAAUGAAAGUGCUGUUUCAGCUGCUGCACCAGUGGAUGAUGCUUUAAUCAGGAUGGAACAUGUUGAUGAUAUGCCCGUUGUUGGAGAUGAUGAUAAUAUUGUAGAAGAUUUUGUGAAUGAUGAUGGUGUGGAUAUUCUUGGAACACGGAAAAGAGCCAAGAUGAG